UGGGGAAUAUUGGACAAUGGGGGGAACCCUGAUCCAGCCAUGCCGCGUGUGUGAAGAAGGCCUUAUGGUUGUAAAGCACUUUAAGCGAGGAGGAGGGUACUGGUAUUAAUACUACCAGGUACUGGACGUUACUCGCAGAAUAAGCACCGGCUAACUCUGUGCCAGCAGCCGCGGUAAUACAGAGGGUGCGAGCGUUAAUCGGAAUUACUGGGCGUAAAGCGCGCGUAGGUGGUUCGUUAAGUUGAAUGUGAAAGCCCCGGGGUCAACCUGGGAACUGCAUCCAAAACUGGCGAGCUAGAGUAGGGCAGAGGGUGGUGGAAUUUCCUGUGUAGCGGUGAAAUGCGUAGAUAUAGGAAGGAACACCAGUGGCGAAGGCGACCACCUGGGCUCAUACUGACACUGAGGUGCGAAAGCGUGGGGAGCAAACAGG
rnacentral:rRNA from 1 species